AGCAAGUCGUCUUCACCACGUCUAGAUGACGUAAUGCAUUGAGUUGCUGCCAUGUGAUUGGCUGAUUAGCUAUUUGUGUUAACAAGCAAUUGAACAGGUGUGCCUAAUAAAGUGGCCGGUGAGUGUACGUUUGGCCUAGUAGUAAAUCUACAAGCAGACUCCAGUUCAACCUGUUGGCUUUGGGCUGUUCCUACCAGACUCCAUUCAGAAAUCAGCUGAUUUAAUGUUCUCUUGUUAAUUAGUUGUAUUCCUCGUGUCUGAGAACCAGAUGUGGUAACUUUAAAGAUUGUCCAGGUGUCUGAGAACCAGAUGUGGUAACUUUAAAGAUUGUCCAGGUGUCUGAGAACCAGAUGUGGUAACUUUAAAGAUUGUCCAGGUGUCUGAGAACCAGAUGUGGUAACUUUAAAGAUUGUCCAGGUGUCUGAGAACCAGAUGUGGUAACUUUAAAGAUUGUCCAGGUGUCUGAGAACCAGAUGUGGUAACUUUAAAGAUUGUCCAGGUGUCUGAGAACCAGAUGUGGUAACUUUAAAGAUUGUCCAGGUGUCUGAGAACCAGAUGUGGUAACUUUAAAGAUUGUCCAGGUGUCUGAGAACCAGAUGUGGUAACUUUAAAGAUUGUCCAGGUGUCUGAGAACCAGAUGUGGUAACUUUAAAGAUUGUCCAGGUGUCUGAGGUAACUUCGGCUCAUUAAUCUACAGACAUCUGAACAAAUACUCUAGUCAAGCUAUCUGCUGUCUACUGUCUUACUGUGUAUUUAGUUUCAUUACAAAUGAGUUGAUCCCUUUGUGUCAGAGCAACAUGUGAUGACUCCUCAUCAGGUUCAGUUGUUUCAGGUCACAGGUUCUCUGUGAUGUUUGCUACCAGACUCCGUUCAAUAAUGAGCUCAUUUGAGGUUCUCUUGUUUUGAGCAAAGUCCUUCCUGUAGCUCUUCUUCUCUUGUGUUUGACAUGUGCAGUAGGUAACGAUGCAUUUUUAACUGCGACAGGAAGCCCCCCCGUUUGCCUUACAAAGUGUUUGCUGUAAAUCUUCAGUCAUUGUAAAAAGUUACUAAACAAACAGAAACACAUCAUUAUUAAUAAUAAUAAUAAUAGUAAUGAUUAUUAACAGUGACUUAUCUCCUCUGCUGGAGGAGCGACCGUAGUGCUAACUGUAGUGAUGAUCGUAGCUUUAGAUUCAUACUGGGACUGCUGGUUUGUUCUGAUCCCAGUUUAACAGCAUGUUCUCUGUAUUUUAAAUAAUAAUAAUAAACUCUCCAUCGUUUGAUGAU